GAAGCUGCGGCAGCGACACUCAGGUGUUGUUGGGUAGGGGAGCGUUCUGUAAGCCUGCGAAGGUGGCCUGUGAGGGUUGCUGGAGGUAUCAGAAGUGCGAAUGCUGACAUAAGUAACGAUAAAGCGGGUGAAAAGCCCGCUCGCCGGAAGACCAAGGGUUCCUGUCCAACGUUAAUCGGGGCAGGGUGAGUCGACCCCUAAGGCGAGGCCGAAAGGCGUAGUCGAUGGGAAACGGGUUAAUAUUCCCGUACUUGGUGUUACUGCGAAGGGGGGACGGAGAAGGCUAUGUUGGCCGGGCGACGGUUGUCCCGGUUUAAGCGUGUAGGUGUGUGUUCCAGGUAAAUCCGGUUCACUUUAACACUGAGGCGUGAUGACGAGGCACUACGGUGCUGAAGCAACAAAUGCCCUGCUUCCAGGAAAAGCCUCUAAGCAUCAGGUAACAUCAAAUCGUACCCCAAACCGACACAGGUGGUCAGGUAGAGAAUACCAAGGCGCUUGAGAGAACUCGGGUGAAGGAACUAGGCAAAAUGGUGCCGUAACUUCGGGAGAAGGCACGCUGACACGUAGGUGAAGUGAUUUACUCAUGGAGCUGAAGUCAGUCGAAGAUACCAGCUGGCUGCAACUGUUUAUUAAAAACACAGCACUGUGCAAACACGAAAGUGGACGUAUACGGUGUGACGCCUGCCCGGUGCCGGAAGGUUAAUUGAUGGGGUCAGCGCAAGCGAAGCUCCUGAUCGAAGCCCCGGUAAACGGCGGCCGUAACUAUAACGGUCCUAAGGUAGCGAAAUUCCUUGUCGGGUAAGUUCCGACCUGCACGAAUGGCGUAAUGAUGGCCAGGCUGUCUCCACCCGAGACUCAGUGAAAUUGAACUCGCUGUGAAGAUGCAGUGUACCCGCGGCAAGACGGAAAGACCCCGUGAACCUUUACUAUAGCUUGACACUGAACAUUGAGCCUUGAUGUGUAGGAUAGGUGGGAGGCUUUGAAGUGUGGACGCCAGUCUGCAUGGAGCCGGCCUUGAAAUACCACCCUUUAAUGUUUGAUGUUCUAACGUGGACCCGUGAUCCGGGUUGCGGACAGUGUCUGGUGGGUAGUUUGACUGGGGCGGUCUCCUCCUAAAGAGUAACGGAGGAGCACGAAGGUUGGCUAAUCCUGGUCGGACAUCAGGAGGUUAGUGCAAUGGCAUAAGCCAGCUUGACUGCGAGCGUGACGGCGCGAGCAGGUGCGAAAGCAGGUCAUAGUGAUCCGGUGGUUCUGAAUGGAAGGGCCAUCGCUCAACGGAUAAAAGGUACUCCGGGGAUAACAGGCUGAUACCGCCCAAGAGUUCAUAUCGACGGCGGUGUUUGGCACCUCGAUGUCGGCUCAUCACAUCCUGGGGCUGAAGUAGGUCCCAAGGGUAUGGCUGUUCGCCAUUUAAAGUGGUACGCGAGCUGGGUUUAGAACGUCGUGAGACAGUUCGGUCCCUAUCUGCCGUGGGCGCUGGAGAACUGAGGGGGGCUGCUCCUAGUACGAGAGGACCGGAGUGGACGCAUCACUGGUGUUCGGGUUGUCAUGCCAAUGGCACUGCCCGGUAGCUAAAUGCGGAAGAGAUAAGUGCUGAAAGCAUCUAAGCACGAAACUUGCCCCGAGAUGAGUUCUCCCUGAGACUUUAGGUCUCCUGAAGGAACGUUGAAGACGACGACGUUGAUAGGCCGGGUGUGUAAGCGCAGCGAUGCGUUGAGCUAACCGGUACUAAUGAACCGUGAGGCUUAACCUUACA
rnacentral:rRNA from 1 species